UCCGCCCCGACUCUGCGUAAGCACCACCCGCCCUACGCGGUCUCGAAAUGGCUCCGGGUGGCGGAGUAAGACGACAGGCCUCCGCGGUUCGCCCUCUCACCUGCUCGGCACAGGCUUCCACCUCCAGCUAGUCCCGCCUCCUCCUGACACUCUGCCGGCCGCGAAUGGAGGGCCCAGGAAAAGGCCCGGUUGUGACAGGAGAGAGAGUGUGUUUACAUCUCACCUCACCCCGAGCGGGCUGGUUUCAGCCCCGCCUCCUCCUCCCCGCCGUUUAAAACGGUGGGUCGCCCUCCUCCUCACUCAGAGGAGCGGCCCCGCAGUUGGUGUUUCAGGGGUUGGUUUGGCUGGGUGACUCCGCGGCAGCCUGCCGUCCACUGCGAAAGGCCCUCGAACUUCAGGUGGAAGAUGUCGGAAAGUAACUUGGCAGAGCGCAGCGACGGACGCGAGAGGCUGGUGUCUGGUGCUAAAGUCGUCGCCCAGGCCCUGAAAACACAGGAUGUGAAUUACAUGUUUGGCAUCGUAGGCAUCCCGGUGACCGAAAUCGCCCUUGCUGCCCAGGAGGUGGGCAUCAGAUACAUCGGGAUGAGGAACGAGCAGGCGGCUUGUUAUGCUGCCUCUGCGGUUGGAUAUCUGACAGGCAGGCCGGGAGUUUGCCUUGUUGUUUCUGGCCCAGGUCUCAUCCAUGCUUUGGGUGGUAUGGCAAAUGCAAACAUGAACUGUUGGCCCUUGAUUGUGAUUGGUGGUUCCUCUGAAAGAAGUCAGGAAACAAUGGGGGCCUUUCAGGAGUUUCCUCAGGUUGAAGCUUGUAGAUUAUAUAGCAAGUUCUCUGCCCGGCCAAGUAGCAUAGAAGCUAUUCCCUCUAUUAUCGAAAAGGCAGUGAGAAGCAGUAUUUAUGGUCGUCCAGGUGCUUGCUAUGUUGACAUACCUGCAGAUUUUGUGAACCUCCAGGUGAAUGUGGAUUCUGUAAGGUACGUGGAGUGCUGCAUGCCCCCUCCUGUUAGUAUGGCAGAAAGCUCUGCUGUAUGUAUGGCAGCAUCUGUUAUUAGGAAUGCCAGACAGCCCCUUCUUAUCAUCGGGAAAGGUGCUGCUUAUGCCCGUGCAGAGGAGAGUAUCAGGAAAUUGGUGGAGCAAUGUAAAUUGCCAUUUCUGCCCACCCCCAUGGGAAAGGGUGUUAUCCCUGACAACCAUCCAAACUGUGUAGGUGCUGCCAGGUCCAGGGCUUUGCAAUUUGCUGAUGUAAUUGUGUUAUUUGGUGCCAGAUUAAAUUGGAUUUUACAUUUUGGACUGCCUCCAAGAUAUCAGCCAGAUGUGAAGUUUAUCCAGGUUGAUAUCUGUGCAGAAGAGUUGGGGAAUAAUGUAAGACCUGCUGUGACCUUGCUAGGAGACAUACAUGCUGUUACUAAACAGCUUUUAGAACAAUUUGAGAAAACACCAUGGCAGUAUCCUCCUGAGAGCAAGUGGUGGAAAAUUCUGAGAGAAAAAAUGAAGAGCAAUGAAGCUUUAUCCAAGGAAUUAGCUUUCAAAAAAUCCCUGCCUAUGAAUUAUUACACAGUAUUCUACCACAUUCAAGAACAACUGCCCAGAGACUGUUUUGUGGUGAGUGAAGGAGCAAAUACUAUGGAUAUUGGGCGCACUGUACUUCAAAACUACCUUCCUCGUCACAGGCUUGAUGCUGGUACUUUCGGAACAAUGGGAGUCGGUUUGGGAUUUGCCAUUGCAUCUGCUCUAGUGGCUAAAGAUAGAAACCCAGGGCAGCGGGUCAUCUGUGUGGAAGGAGACAGUGCAUUUGGAUUUUCUGGCAUGGAAGUGGAAACCAUCUGCAGGUACAACUUGCCAAUCAUACUUUUGGUGGUGAAUAACAAUGGAAUUUACCAAGGUUUUGAUACAGAUACUUGGAAGGAAAUGUUAAAAUUUGGAGAUGCUACUACAGUGGCCCCUCCAAUGUGUCUUCUGCCACAGUCACAUUAUGAGCAUGUCAUGACUGCAUUUGGAGGCAAAGGGUAUUUUGUACAAACACCAGAAGAACUCCAGAAAUCCCUGAGGCAGAGCCUGGCAGACACAACUAAACCCUGUCUUAUCAACAUCAUGAUUGAGCCGCAAGCCAUGCGGAAAGCCCAGGAUUUUCACUGGCUGACCCGCUCUAAUAUGUAAAUAAAGAUGCCAAUGAGUGACUUGAGGAGUUUUCUCUUUCCCGAACGAUGAGAAUUCAGGCUUGGAAAUGACUUAUCAGGGGUCACUGGAGCCAGCUCUGUGGAGUGCUUAAUCUACAGCUACCUGGUUCGUCCUGAGGCUCAUUCUCUGGUCCCAGCGUGUUCCCAGGUACUGCCUCCUCACCCCAGUGAUCAGGGAGGGCUCAGGAAAUCAGACCCGCUUUCACCCUAGCCUGAGCUCUGUGUGCUCCCCGCCGUUUGCCGUGUGGUAUCAGCCAUGUUGUCACCUCUUCCAUGAAGCCGUCCUCUCUCCCAGCCCUCCUACAGCACCCUGCGUGUACCUUUUUCACUACUCACGAUAUUCAUGAUGCAUCGAAUUCCCAUCUCCCUUCCCACCUCGACCGAGUGCCUGUGUACCCAGACGUCACCCACCCCUCGUCUUCCAGGGCCUGCGUCCUCCUGCUCUGUUUGGCGAGCUCCUCUGUGGGCUCCGCCUUGAAGAAUCUACAUAUUGCUAAGUGUAUAUAGUGAUAUGUACAUCACGGACAUUUUCUUGCAGGGGUGGCGACCUGGGGGGGUUUAUAUCACAAAAGCCGUGGCAGACGAUUCUGAGGGUGCAGCGUGGAGAGGUGAGACACCGAGGAGCAAAGCCCAGCCCUGGUGCCUGGGUUAGACAAACCCCACCGCCUUACAGCCGUGUAGGGGUGGGGUCUGGGCCUCGAGGCCCUGACGGAACUGGGCCAAGUUCCUCCUCCAAAUGGAGGUCAG